rnacentral:rRNA from 1 species
UACAGAGGUGGCAAGCGUUGUUCGGAAUUACUGGGCGUAAAGGGCGCGUAGGCGGUCUUGCAAGUCCUGUGUGAAAUCCCUCGGCUCAACUGAGGAACUGCACAGGAAACUGCUUGGCUUGAGUUCGGGAGAGGGAAGCGGAAUUCCGGGUGUAGCGGUGAAAUGCGUAGAUAUCCGGAGGAACACCGGUGGCGAAGGCGGCUUCCUGGACCGACACUGACGCUGAGGUGCGAAAGCGUGGGGAGCAAACAGG